rnacentral:lncRNA from 12 species
CUUCUUAUGUUUGGUGUAUUGUAUCUAAGAUGGAUGGUUACAUGGAUAAUACAGAUAAAGAGAGAGAGGAGAGGAGAUGGUGGGUAUUUGUGUAAUUUCUCUGGUUGCCCAGUGUGGAAUGCUCAGCUCUGUUGCCUAGGAUCCACCGCUUUCUGAGAGGUGCCUGGUCAACCCCUCACCUACCCAACAGCUGGCAGCAUUGGGGCCCUCCUGCAGGAUCAGAGGAAUUGCUCCUUCUACUCCAUACAUGACAGCACCCUCUGGACCUGUGGGGACCAGUGAGAUGACUGAGGUUCCAGUUCAUGCUCCAGCUCCUGUAUGCUCCUGGAUGGCACCUAAACAAAGACAUCCCCUGGCCAGUCCGGAGGACCCUGCAGUCAAAUUCCACGGGAAGAGGGCUCCAGCUCCAUUUCUGGAUACGCCGCCCUCGGGCCCACCACUCUUCCGGGCAGGGCUGGACAUCCUCCGCGAGGUGCCUGGGGCAGGGGCUGGGGGUCGGGCUGGGUUCCAGACAGGAAGGAGGCGUGGACUUCAAUCUGGAAGGUCUCUGUAGGCCUUUCCCCCUCCCCUUAGCAAGUCUGGGAACUCGGCCCGAGCCCGGUCCCCUCUCCCCCGCCCUCGCCUCUCCGCGCUUUCAUCAGAAUUCAAUUUCCGCCGGA